rnacentral:sRNA from 1 species
UUUUUUUUCUUUCUGAAAUUUAGAUCAGAUCCUUGGGACAGAAAGCCAAAAGAACUACAAGUUGCAAUAUACAGGUCACAACUACGAUACAUCCUAUGUGCUGAUUGGAGUUACUGGAUGCCCUGAGCCAUUAAGCCUAACACUCUUCAGAAAGAAAAACAACAAUGUAAAAGAAGCCCUGACCGAUGGAGUUUCACUGUCCUAUAAAAGUACUCCUCAGAUCGUGAAGUCAUCAAACCAAUACAAAGCCUUGGGCUUCGUUAAUGUCACAUUCCUAAAUAAACACAUGACUCUAGAUUCACCAACAUACAUCUUGCAUGUUAGCAAUGGGAUCUCGAAUUAUACCAUUCUUGAAUUUAGCGUUUAUGGUGCUCAUAACAGUAGUGCUACUCCUCUGUCCAACAGCCUCACAGUCUUUUUGUUGGUUUUAGCUUUGUUCAAUGUGUUUACUUUCUAACAUUGUGAUACCAUUUUUUUAAAUAUCAUCACUUACUGACUUACACCAACAAACAAUAAACAUCCAUUAUUUGGGUAAUUGAAUCAAAUGUCUACCAAAUAAAAAAUAAAAUAUGUAA